rnacentral:lncRNA from 1 species
AAACGAACUUACGAACAACGAAACAGUCUUGAAAGGCUCACUCGGCAAAACAAGAAACACACCACCCCUAACCACAUAAAACAAAUACCCUCUGCCACGUCCUGACCAAACUACAAUACCAAUUAACCCUUAUACUGGCCAGGACGUGACACAGUAUGAACUCACAUGUUGUCCAUCCAAUCAUAGGAUUAGGAUCAGAGAAUUAACCUAAUAUGUUGUAUUGGGGUUGUGCGAAUUAAAACCAAGGGUCGACCUCUGCCUGAGAUCAGUUUCACGAAGAAGGAUGAAAAGGUGAGGGCGUUGAAUACCAAUUGGGAUCAAAAGUAUAGCUGGUUAACAGGGAGGCUUUCAUCAAGCAGCCUGUAUUGCUGGCCUUGCCUGCUUAUGGAAAGUCUGAGCCUUGUGCGAAAGGGCGGUACAGUAGCCUCCAGAACAUCUAUCGUUCAGCUAAACCGCUAAACAAAAGCAGGGAGCAUACAGAAGCCCACAUCAGAUUUAAGCUUCUGGGAAAAAGCCGCAUCGAUCUUGACGAAGGUCUGCGUAUUCAAACAGCGCAACACAACGAGAAAGUAAGAAGAAACAGGGAUGUUCUCAAGCGGCUUAUCAACACCACUGUGUUUUUGGGCAUGCAAGUAUAGGCUUUUAGAGGAUAUGACGAGAGGGAAAGUUCCGCUAACAAGGGCAACUACAAGGAGCUUGCAGCGUCAAGUCCUUUCCUGCACUGAAGUCAAGCCUCUGAACGCCUCAACUCAUGCCUCAUACCCUCAUUCAAUCACUGCUGUGUACCCUUUCCAACACUGUAUGUAGCCCUCUCAUUCCCAUUCCCCAUAAUAUUGUACUAUAAAUGUCUUUAUUAAAUGCUUUAGGUUAAAAUCAUUAGUCUUUGACGAUUUUUGAAACACUCUUUGUCGUCUCCGUGCGUUCCGCGCCUAUACCGUGGGCCUCCCACCCUCCUCAAUUUUUAAGUCAUCAGCCUCCACUGGUGCUCACCCCCUUCCUACAUCUUUAAGGUGGCCAGACUCCAAUGAGAAUCACCCUCUUGGGCUGACUGAGGAUGUAUGUGAUACCUCUCCUCUUUGAUCUUUACAGAACCAGGAUGUAAUACAGAGAAAAGGAAAGGGUGG